GAUUAUGGCUCAGAACGAACGCUGGCGGCGCGUUUAAGCAUGCAAGUCGAGCGGCAAGGGCCUUCGGGCCCCUAGAGCGGCGGACGGGUGAGUAACACGUGGACAAUCUGCCCCCGGCCCGGGAUAGCCCAGGGAAACCUGGAUUAAUACCGGAUGAGACGGGACCCGCGAUGGCGGGACCCGGGAAGGCGCUGCGGCGCCGCCGGGGGAUGAGUCUGCGUCCCAUUAGCUAGACGGCGGGGUAACGGCCCACCGUGGCGACGAUGGGUAGCCGGCCUGAGAGGGUGGACGGCCACAUUGGAACUGAGACACGGUCCAGACUCCUACGGGAGGCAGCAGCUAAGAAUCUUCCGCAAUGGGCGAAAGCCUGACGGAGCGACGCCCGCGUGAACGAAGAAGGCCGUGAGGUUGUAAAGUUCUUUUCGGGAGGGGGAACAACCGUGGCAGGGAAUGGCCGCGGGAUGACGUGAAUCCCGGAAUAAGCCCCGGCUAACUACGUGCCAGCCGCUGC
rnacentral:rRNA from 1 species